ACUCUCUGGUUCUUUUUUCCCAUCGGAUGGUGACACUGGUUUUGAUGAUUGUAAAAGAGGAAGAAUAUACUGAAGCUGGCUUCACAACACUGAGGUCUGGUACAGAGCAUAGGGCCAGAUUCACACCAGC